GGGAAUGUGGCUUAGUGGUAGAGUGCUUGCCUGGCAUGCAUGAAGCCCUGGGAUCCAUUCCUC
rfam:Dipodomys ordii contig_26935, whole genome shotgun sequence.